rnacentral:tRNA from 1 species
AUUCAUUUAGUUUAAUUUAAAAUUUUGACUUGUGAUGUUGAAGAUCUUUAAGAGGAUGAGUU